AUGGCCGUCGUCAGUUCGUACUGUGAAGCAUCCUGUUAAGUCAGGCAACGAGCGAGACCCACGUCCACAGUUGCCAGCAUACCCUCCGGGGUGGAUGGGUACACUGUGGAGACCGCCGCUGCUAAAGCGGAGGAAGGAGUGGGCAACGGUAGGUCAGUAUGCCCCGAAUCUCCCGGGCUACACGCGGGCUACAAUGGUUGGUACAAUGGGCAUCUACCCCGAAAGGGGAAGGAAAUCUCUUAAAGCCAAUCGUAGUUCGGAUUGAGGGCUGCAACUCGCCCUCAUGAAGCUGGAAUCCGUAGUAAUCGCGUUUCAACAGAACGCGGUGAAUACGUCCCUGCUCCUU
rnacentral:rRNA from 1 species